rnacentral:rRNA from 1 species
AACGUAGGAGACAAACGUUAUCCGGAGUUACUGGGCGUAAAGGGCGUGUAGGUGGUUGCGUAAGUCUGGCGUGAAAUUUUUCGGCUUAACCGGGAAAGGUCGUCGGAUACUGCGUAGCUAGAGGACGGUAGAGGCGUGUGGAAUUCCGGGUGUAGUGGUGAAAUGCGUAGAGAUCCGGAGGAACACCAGUGGCGAAGGCGGUUCUCUGGGACGGUACUGACGCUGAGACGCGAAAGCGUGGGGAGCGAACAGG